AAAAGAUUUUUCUAGUCUGGAUUUUCUAUUCAAAUUUAAAUUAAAUGCAAGAUUUUUCAAGAAAGAUAUUUAUUUAUAGAUUGAAUUAUUUUAAGAAAUAGAAUCGCAGUAAUAAAUUUUAUUUUAUAUAAGAGAUUAAGAAAUAGUAAUAUUUUUAGUAUGAACAAAGUUUGUGCCAGCAGUUGCGGUUAUACAGAUUAUGCUAUAGAAAAUUUUUCGGUAAGUAGUAUUUAUAAGAUUUUGAAUUUAAAUAAAAAUUUAUUAAGUGAAAUUUUAAAUUUUAAGUUAAGUUUUUAUGUAAGUUAUAAGACUAAUAAGAUAUUUUAUUAGACUAGGAUUAGAUACCCUAUUAUUAAUAAAGUAAUUUUUUAUGCCCAGUUAGUAACAGUUUAAUAUCUUGGAAAUUAAAGAAGUUGGCGGUAUUUUAGUCUAUUCAGAGGAAUCUGCCCUAUAAUUGAUAUUCCACGAUUUAAAUUACUUAUUUUAAUUAGUUUGCAUAUCGCCGUAGGUUGAAUAUUUUUAAAGGGUUAUAUAAUAUUCAGAAUUUUUAGUGAAAAUAAAUCAGGUCAAGAUGUAGCUUAUAGGUAAGUAGAGGUGGAUUACAAUAAAUUUAUUUAUAAUGGAUUAGUUAAUGAAAGUUAAUUUUGAAGGUGGAUUUGAUAGUAAUUUUAUUUAAAUUUUUAAAAUGAUUUUAGCUCUAAAAUAUGUACAUAUCGCCCGUCACUUCCACUCUAAAGUGGAAUAAGUCGUAACAUAGUAGAGGUACUGGAAAGUGUCCCUAGAAAGU
rnacentral:ncRNA from 1 species